rnacentral:rRNA from 1 species
GGCGUCUUCGGCGUCCGCGUUGAAAACUCGAGACGUGUUUUCCGUGCGGCUCUAUGGACAAGUUCCCUGGAACAGGGCAUCGUAGAGGGUGAAAAUCCCGUACUUGCCAUGGAAGUACCGUGCUUUGUGAUACACGCUCCAAGAGUCGAGUAGUUUGGGAUUGCUGCUCAAAGUGGGUGGUAGACUCCAUCUAAAGCUAAAUAUCGGGGAGAGACCGAUAGCGAACAAGUACCGUGAGGGAAAGAUGAAAAGCACUUUGGAAAGAGAGUUAAAAGUACGUGAAAUUGUCGAAAGGGAAGCACUUGAAGUCAGCCAUGCUGCUUGAGACUCAGCCUGGCUUUUGCUUGGUGUAUUUCUCGGUAGCAAGCCAGCAUUGGUUUGUGUCGUCGGAGAAGCGCAUGGGGAAUGUGGCAUCCUCGGAUGUGUUAUAGCCCUGUGCAGGAUACGACGACGUAGACCAAGGAACGCAGUG